UAUGUUCACGGCCCUCAUCUACUGUCUGUAAUGAUUUCCAUUAACCAAGUGGGCAGAUGGAAGAUUUUGGAGGGCAAGAGUCUACAAGCAAAUAGUACUUUUCAAUGGAUGAUAACUUUGAUUUCAAUAUUCAUAUCCUAAAUCAUUAUUCAAUGUAACAUUUGCAGGCUCUGACCCAGGUGGCUCUGCCUGGUUUGAAGGACUCUUUCCUGUGAGAUAACCUUUUUCUUCUCUGUGAUUAACUGUCAAAAACAUAUUAGUCUUUACACCCAUGUUUGUCUUGCUUAGUCAUCUCUCCAAAAUUUUAUUUGGACUUAAAAAAAACAACCAACCAACCAAAAAAACAAACAAACCACUACUGAAGACAAGGUUUGUUAGUAAAUAAAAAUGUAUGUUAUAAGGAAAGUCUUGAAAGAGUUAAAAAAAAUAAAUAAAUAAGAGUCCAUUUCAAGCCUUUACAUUUUGAAAACAUUGAUGAAAUUAGUUUUUCACUGUUUUACCACCACUACUUUCAAGCUUCCUUCCCACGCUGCUGUGCGAGUUACUUGCAGAAUACUCGGGGAUACAAAUCUUCACCAAGCUUGACUCUCAGUUUCUCUGACAAAUGCUCAUGCUGUGAAAGAAGAGACAUUCAGCUGCCCUGGAUUGAGCAGGCUGUCAGACUUCCCCAGAGAAGUUACCAUGGAAAGAAGCUUCUUCGAAACCUUGUUUAAAGUGAGGGCUGUUAAUCAAGGCCUUGGUGCUCUCAUUAGAGAGGGAGGGAACCAUUUAAAGUCAGGAAGCUGCAGUAUAUGAAAGUCAUGAAAUUGAAAUGAAUGCAUCUUUUGCCAGCUGGUUUCACACCCCCAGUUGGCAAUCCACAAAGGUUUAGAGGGGGAAUUAAAUCCAUUUUUCAGCAGAAAUAACUAUUUUUGUGAUUAUCAUAUAGAUUCCAUGAGCUACACUUUGGUCCUAUCAAGACAGGCAGGCAGCUGCAUGAGAGGUGGAAAGAGAGAAAAUGAUUGAGAUGAAAUCACCACCAACAACUAUUGCAGGCAGGAAGGCAGUUUUGGAUCCCAGCCACAAUACUUCUGCAACCUGGUUUGAAUGGGCCUGACGGGAUGCCAUAAUGGAACCUACACUGAACAAGGCUGAGAGCAGGUGUCUGUGAUGAGAUCCCAUGCUGUGACAUGCAUGCAGCACAUUCUUACAUGAAAAGCCCUGGCUGAUGAAAUGACCACAGGAAGACAACAUGGAACCCUCCCGGCAGGAUCAGAAGAAGCUUAAUUAAGCUCUGUGGUCAAUUUUGAAGACUUAAUAUUCUUUCCUGAUUUCCCUGAAGCAGCAUGAGAAAUUCUUUACAUGUGCAUGACUAUGGCUAUUGCAGUGGUGGUGAAGCAGAGAUUUGACAAGUGAAGUGUUCUAACAGCGCAGGAAGUCAGUGAUGAAACUGCAAAGGCAAGACUAAAGUACUCAUGUCUAUCUUAAUGCAGAAUAUGUGGUGAAAAACUGUAGCCUGGCUGUAUGUGGAUUGAUGGAGUGACAAAGAAAAGCUUAAGGCUUCAUAAACACCUUUGCUUUUCUCAACGUCCUUUUGUCAGAAGCAUAGCAAGAAACUUCAGUCUGGCUUUCAAAAGUGCUGAACACCCAAAACUCCUACAAAGGUCUCCAUGAAUCACAGGGACCUGGACACCUGCGCCAGCAAACAUGGAGCCAUGACAGUGUCCAGAUAGGAUCGCCCAGGCAAUGCAAUGCACCAGGUUAUAAGCCAAGUGAAGUCCUGCCCACCUAUCUACUACUAGACCAAGAUGCUUUUACUGGAUCUGCUGCUUCUCAUCUCUUUGAUGCUGCUGCUCCAACCCUUAUAUCAAAACAGAACCAAGAACUGAUUCUUGAAGACUGGCACUUGUAAUUCGUCACCCAAGGGACCCCAGCUGUUCUUAUGUUUGCUGGUGCCAACUGACUCAACUCAAGGUUGCCUACUUGUGUGCAUGGGGCAAAUGGCAACUUAAAGUUUAACAUCUCCUGACUUCCCACUGCCUCUUCUUGCAACAUCUAUGUUGUUACAACAUGUGAUAUAAAACCAGAACAAUAUAUAAAUGUGAAAAUGACUCCUUUAAAUGAACAAGGAAUAUGGCAGACAAUGAAGAAAAGUGCAGAGGAUUAAAUGUGUAUCAUAGAGGGAAUAUAUUGUAUUAACUAAAUGCAAACAUAUUUUCUUGGGUUUUGUGUUUUGGAAUGAGAAUGAAUGGGACAGAUCAGCAGAACAGGGAUACCCCUGGUGAAACUUCACUUAAGUCAGUAGAGUUACACCAGGGAUACAUUUGGCUGAUUCUUUUGCUAACGGCUGUAUGAAAACUUUAAUAUAGAGUUUCUGCAUGUGUGAAGUGUAUGCCAAGACAAAUGCAACAUGCUAAAUGGAACCUCCUGAUUUAUUUAAAUUAAAAAUGCAUUACAAAAAAA